GACGAACGCUGGCGGCACGCCUAACACAUGCAAGUCGAGCGAGUAGAUCCCUUCGGGGUGAAGCUAGCGGCGGACGGGUGAGUAACACGUGGGCAACCUGCCUCAUAGAGGGGAAUAGCCUUCCGAAGGGAGAUUAAUACCGCAUAAUAUUGUAGCUUCGCAUGAAGUAGCAAUUAAAGGAGCAAUCCGCUAUGAGAUGGGCCCGCGGCGCAUUAGCUAGUUGGUGAGGUAAAGGUUCACCAAGGCGACGAUGCGUAGCCGACCUGAGAGGGUGGCCGACCAAACGGGGCCGGGGACACGGCCGAGACUCCUACGGGAGGCAGCAGUGGGGAAUAUUGCACAAGGGGGGAAACCCCGAUGCCGCAACCCCGCGUGAGUGAUGACGGCCGUCGGGUUGUAAAGCUCUGUCUUCAGGGACGAUAAUGACGGUACCUGUGGAGGAAGCCACGGCUAACAACGUGCCAGCAGCCGCCGUAA
rnacentral:rRNA from 1 species